UUCCUUCUUCCUUUCUCUUCUUCUCCCUUAGGCGUCCCAUAUACGCCCUAUACUUGGGAUGUGCAUCCCAAGUGUUGCACAUGCCCAAGAUGUUGGGCGGCCCUUCAUCUACUGGUUGUUGAUCUCUUGUAGCACCACAAGGCAAGGAGAAGAUAAAGAUCAAGGAGAAAGAUCAAACGUUGAUCGCGAUCCAGGCUUCGUUCAAAUUCUGCAGGUUGAAUUUUGGAGAAUUAAAAUUCAGAUCUUAGAUGACUGUUCCAGACUGAUCCCAAGUGAAUACUCAU
rnacentral:lncRNA from 1 species